GUUACAAAAGAUACUUACACAUAUUUUCCCUGUACAGUGAAUGAAAUCAGUCCAGCUGCCCUUGAGGUGUGGGAACAGGGUGUCAUGUACUGGAAGCAUGGGUAGAGAGAUCAUCUGUGUAUAUGGGUAGAGAGGUCAUCUGUGUAUAUGGGUAGAGAGGUCAGCUGUGUAUAUGGGUAGAGAGGUCAGAGGUCAGCUGUGUAUAUGGGUAGAGAGGUCAGAGGUCAUCUGUGUAUAUGGGUAGAGAGGUCAGAGGUCAUCUGUGUAUAUGGGUAGAGAGGUCAUCUGUGUAUAUGGGUAGAGAGGUCAGAGGUCAGCUGUGUAUAUGGGUAGAGAGGUCAGAGGUCAGCUGUGUAUAUGGGUAGAGAGGUCAUCUGUGUAUAUGGGUAGAGAGGUCAUCUGUGUAUAUGGGUAGAGAGGUCAGAGGUCAGCUGUGUAUAUGGGUAGAGAGGUCAUCUGUGUAUAUGGGUAGAGAGGUCAUCUGUGUAUAUGGGUAGAGAGGUCAGCUGUGUAUAUGGGUAGAGAGGUCAGAGGUCAGCUGUGUAUAUGGGUAGAGAGGUCAGAGGUCAGCUGUGUAUAUGGGUAGAGAGGUCAGCUGUGUAUAUGGGUAGAGAGGUCAUCUGUGUAUAUGGGUAGAGAGGUCAGAGGUCAUCUGUGUAUAUGGGUAGAGAGGUCAGCUGUGUAUAUGGGUAGAGAGGUCAUCUGUGUAUAUGGGUAGAGAGGUCAGAGGUCAUCUGUGUAUAUGGGUAGAGAGGUCAGCUGUGUAUAUGGGUAGAGAGGUCAGCUGUGUAUAUGGGUAGAGAGGUCAGAGGUCAUCUGUGUAUAUGGGUAGAAGCAGUGUUGCUGAGGUGAUGGGC
ensembl:lncRNA